AGCGAACGCUGGCGGCAGGCCUAACACAUGCAAGUCGAACGAACCCUUCGGGGUUAGUGGCGGACGGGUGAGUAACACGUGGGAACGUGCCUUUAGGUUCGGAAUAACUCAGGGAAACUUGUGCUAAUACCGAAUGUGCCCUUCGGGGGAAAGAUUUAUCGCCUUUAGAGCGGCCCGCGUCUGAUUAGCUAGUUGGUGAGGUAAAGGCUCACCAAGGCUACGAUCAGUAGCUGGUCUGAGAGGAUGACCAGCCACAUUGGGACUGAGACACGGCCCAAACUCCUACGGGGGGCAGCAGUGGGGAAUCUUGCGCAAUGGGCGAAAGCCUGACGCAGCCAUGCCGCGUGGAUGAUGAAGGUCUUAGGAUUGUAAAAUCCUUUCACCGGUGAAGAUAAUGACUGUAGCCGGAAAAGAAGCCCCGGCUAACUUCGUGCCAGCCGCCGCCGUAACAC
rnacentral:rRNA from 1 species